AGAGUUUGAUCAUGGCUCAGAACGUACGCUGGCGGCACGCCUAACACAUGCAAGUCGAACGCAGUAGCAAUACUGAGUGGCAAACGGGUGAGUAUAAUGUAGGAAUCUGCCUUUUGGUUUGGAAUAACACGGGGAAACUUGUGCUAAUACCGAAUAAGCCCUUACGGGGAAAGUUUUAAUGCCGAAAGAUGAGCCUGCACUUGAUUAGCUAGUUGGUAAGGUAAAAGCUUACCAAGGCAACGAUCAAUAGCUGUUCUUAGAGGAAGACCAGCCACAUUGGGACUGAGACACGGCCCAGACUCCUACGGGAGGCAGCAGUGGGGAAUCUUGCACAAUGGGGGAAACCCUGAUGCAGCGAUGCCGCGUGAGUGAAGAAGGCCUUUGGGUUGUAAAACUCUUUCGUCGGGGAAGAAAAUGACUGUACCCGAAUAAGAAGGUCCGGCUAACUUCGUGCCAGCAGCCGCGGUAAUACGAAGGGACCUAGCGUAGUUCGGAAUUACUGGGCUUAAAGAGCUCGUAGGUGGUUAAAAAAGUUGAUGGUGAAAUCCCAAGGCUUAACCUUGGAACUGCCAUCAAAACUUUUUAGCUAGAGUGUGAUAGAGGUAAGUGGAAUUUCUAGUGUAGAGGUGAAAUUCGUAGAUAUUAGAAAGAACACCAAAUGCGAAGGCAACUUACUGGGUCACAACUGACACUGAGGAGCGAAAGCAUGGGUAGCGAAGAGGAUUAGAUACCCUCGUAGUCCAUGCCGUAAACGAUGUGUGCUAGACG
rnacentral:rRNA from 1 species